rnacentral:tRNA from 1 species
GCCUGGGUGGCUUAGUUGGUCAAGCGUCUGACUUCAGCUCAUGAUCUUGCGGUUUGUGGGUUCGAGCCCCACAUCAGGCU